UGUCCCCUGAGGUGCUGUUGGGUGCUCCUGCCCCCUGUGUCCCCUUUGUCACCUGGUUCUGUCCCCUGGGUGACCCUGCUGUCCCUUCCCAGUGUCACUGCUGUCCCCACAGGUGCUGCUGGGUGCUCCUGCCCCCUGUGUCCCCCUUGUCACCUGGUUCUGUCUCCUCAGUGACACCACUGUCCCUUCCCAGUGUCACCGCUGUCCCCUCAGGUGCUGCUGUGUCCCCCUGGGUGACAUUGCUGUCCCUUCAGGUGCUGCUGUGUCCCCUGUGCCCCCCAGGUCCCCUCAGUGUCACCACUGUCCCCUCAGGUGCUGCUCUGUGCCCCCUGUGCCCCCCUGAGUGUCCCCAGUGUCCCCUCAGGUGCUGCUGUGUCCCCCUGGGUGACACUGCUGUCCCCUCAGGUGCUGCUGCAUGCCCCCUGUGCCCCCCAGGUCCCCUCAGUGUCCCCACUGUCCCCUCAGGUGCUGCUGUGUCCCCCUGGGUGACACUGCUGUCCCCUCAGGUGCUGCUGUGUCCCCCUGGGUGACACUGCUGUC